rnacentral:rRNA from 1 species
AGUAACACGUGGGUAAUCUACCCUCAGGACAGGGAUAACCCCGGGAAACUGGGGAUAAUACCUGAUAGGUGGAGAGGUCUGGAAUGAUUCUUCACUUAAAGCUCCGGCGCCUGAGGAUGAGCCUGCGCCUGAUUAGGUUGUUGGCGGUGUAAUGGACCACCAAGCCGAAGAUCAGUACGGGCAGUGAGAGCUGUAGCCCGGAGAUGGGGGCUGAGACACGGCCCCAGGCCCUACGGGGCGCAGCAGGCGCGAAAACUCCGCAAUGUUCGAAAGAACGACGGGGGAACUCCAAGUGCACUUGCGCAAGCAAGUGGUUUUUAGCAGUGUAAAUAGCUGUUAGAAUAAGAGCUGGGUAAGACCGGUGCCAGCCGCCGCGGUAACACCGGCAGCUCGAGUGGUGACCGCUUUUAUUGGGCCUAAAGCGUUCGUAGCCGGUUUGGUAAGUCUUUGGGUAAAUCCUUCGGCUUAACCGAAGGACUUCCGAAGAUACUGCCAGACUUGGAGUUGAGAGAAGUCAGAGGUACCUCUGGGGUAGGGGUGAAAUCCUAUAAUCCUGGGGGGACCACCAGUGGCGAAGGCGUCUGACUAGAGCAAGCUCGACGGUGAGGGACGAAAGCCAGGGGCGCGAACGGGAUUAGAUACCCCGGUAGUCCUG